UAAUCCGAGUCCACCUACUUUAUACGGUAAAGAUUCGCUUGCCUAUUCCCUCCAAAACCACGGUACAAUUUAGUCGGGUGAAAUCUCUCGCUCUCUCCUUCCUCUCCUGACGCACUCUCGGUCCUCUCCAGCCGCUCUCUCUGCCUCUCGCGCGCUUGCUCUCUCGUGAAUCCCAGUUAGUCUUCUCAAACGCCUUCUUCUUCGUUUGAAUCCCAGUUCAUCUUCUCAUUUUUCUUCUUCUCCCCAGACAUGGAUGAAAGAAAGAUUGUGGCAUGCUUCAUUGUUAAGUUGUGGUACUUGAAUAUUGUGACUUGGUUGAUGAUGUGGUUCAUGAUGAAUCAUAAUUCAGCUAGAAGGCGGAAUCUGCAACUUGCACUUAGAAAUUCAAGUACCAAGAAAAGGAAGAGGUCAGCUGCUAAUGAUAAUGAUCUUGCUGUGACAUUUAAAGAAAUGAUUUCUGAAUCAGUCGAUAAGUUGGAUGAAAUUUUACAAGCUGUUUUUGGGAAAGGAGUGGAUUCAAAACCUAAGAUUGCUUCAGAAUUGUCAAAGAUGGAUUUGUCUAUUGAGGAUCAAAUCAAGGCACUGAUUAUCCUUUUUGAAAAGCCACAUAAUGAGAGGACAUUCUUGUCUUUGGAUGGUGCAAUGAAAAAAUCAUUCGUACUCAUGUUACUUGGACAAAGUAACCGCAAUUGACAUUGGAAAACAACAACAUUAUAUUUUGUUAAAAGCAACAUGCAUAUCUUUUUUUAAAAGCUACAACAUGUAUAAUUUUGGGUACUUAGGACAAAUUGCUUCUUACUGAAAGCAAAGUAGCAGCAUGCAUAUAUUUUGGCUAUCUGGACAAACUGUUUCUUACUGAAACCAACUUGCAUUUGUAUAUUUUGUGAACUUGGAUAUGUGGUUGGAUUAAUCUAUAUAACGUAACGAUUGUAGUUGUGUUUUGUGAA